CAGCUUUCGUGGGCUACGGCUCACUUUGUCGGAUGCAUUCCGAUGAAGUGGGCUGUAGCUCACGAAAGCUGAUGCUCCAAUAAACGUGUUAGCCUCUAAGGUGCCACAAGUCCUCCUGUUCUUUUUGUGGAUCCAGACUAACCACGGCUGCUCCUCUGGAACCUGUCAAGAAACUUUGACUGCCAGCAGCCUGUCCCCAGCUGCCUAUGGAAUCCCUGCUGUGCUGCAGCCUUCCCCUGCUUCCUGGUGAGUCCUGCCCAUUCCCCAGACCAGCCCCUUGUGCCAGAAUCUGGGGCGCAGGCACAGAGAGCCGUGAAAGCUGGCUUGGAUAAAGCUUGUACCCGAGGAAGGUCUCCCCUGGACAAAUCCAGGGUGCUACUGGUUAUUUUAUGCUCUCACGGCAGCAUAAAUAAGCCAUAGUGGCGGGGAUAAUCUCACCCUUUGCGCCUAUAUUCUGUGUGCCAAGGGCCACUCUUCUAUUUUAAAAAAAAACAAAAUAUCACUGCAGGCAAAAUUCUGCCCCUCAGUUACUUAUGCAGUAAGGAGUUGCAUGCACAUUUCAAAAGGAACAAUUUGCUCCUUUGUGAGACAGACAGAUUUGCUGAAUUUACAAUAUUAUAUAUUAUUUUAAAGUAAAAUACACAUUUAGUAGAUUAGAAUCUAUAAAAAUUAUGAUUUCAGAUCUUUCAAAACAAUGGUUGUGUGUUGAGGAACUAAGAAUACUGUAGGAGGGAAACAACUUAUCAAAAUCUUUGUAUGCAUAAAAUGUAAAUGGAUUAAUAAAUAUCAUAUGCUCGUGAUAUAAGAUUGGUAAAUUUCUAACUGAUUACUGUGCUUUCUGUGUUGCAUUACAUUUCACUCAUCAUGUUUUAAGCUUCUCCUAAAUUAAAAGUAAAAAGUGCAGCAAUUGGAUGCUCUUUGAGGGUCCAACAUUAUGUUGUUGUGAUGACCACAGUUGUAAGACAUGUAAAUGGGAUUGCUCACCAAAAAGUUCUAGUUCUUAAAGACAUCGGGGCGUCUUUACCAAUUUUGCCGCCCCAAGCAGUUGCCACCGAAUUGCUGCCGCCGCAACAGCAGCGGAGUUGCCGCUGAAAGCUGUGGCAGCGGGAAGUGUUGCUGCCGAAUUGCCGCCACGGGACACGGACUGUCGCCCCAUUCUAAAUGCCGCCCUAAGCACCUGCUUGGAAAGCUGGUGGCUGGAGCCGGCCCUGGAAGACAUCAUGCCAUUUCCCUGGCAUUAUUGGUCUUUGACAUCAUAUUGGGAGUUAUUCACUAAAUUUAUUUCAAUAUUUUGUCUUAGGGUAGUGUUCAGUAGUCCCCCUAAGUGACUUAGGAGCCUAUAUCUCAUUUUCAAAGCUGACUUUAGUCUAUUGUUUUAAACCUCCAGUUAUUGGUUUUAAGCUCUUAAGUGUCUAAGUCACCUUUGAAAAUGAGACUUAAGUGACAUAGGCCUGGUCUACGCUAUAAACUUACAUCCGUAUAACUGCAUUAUUUAAGAGGUGAAAAAUCCACACCCCAGGCAAUGCAGUUGUACUGACUUAACCCGCAGUAUAGACAGAACUGGUCGAUGGGAGGGCUUCUCACAUAGCUACCACCUCUUGUGGAGGUGGAUUAACUAUGCCGAUGGGAGCUGCUUUUUUCAAUCUACAGAGUAGCGUCUUCACAGAGGCACUACAACGGGGCAGCUGCACCAGAGCAGCAUUUUUAAGUGUAGACCUGCCCUUAGCAGCCUGAGCUUUUGAAACUGUUACCCUAUACACAUAGCAAAUAAGUAGUUUUUACUGUUGUGAGAAUUGGCCACAGAAACAAUGCAGUGUUCCAUAAUUAUAUAUGCAUUUCCACCAGACAUUAGAGCCUUUGUUUUAUUAUGGCAGUUUUUAACAAAAAUGGAGAAAAAUAUCAAGAUUAUGGGCAUAAGUUUCUUGUUUUAGUGCAACUAACUUCAAAAUUUGCUUGAGCUAUGUAUUGGUGGACAGAUUUGACUGUAGCAUUUGCUGACUAAACUCUGCAAACCCGAGAUAAUUCUUAGUUUUUUUCAAUAUAUUGACUAAAAUAUUUUGAAUUUUGAAAAUUUUUGAUGAAAAGGGAACAUUUUUUUCAGGAAAAUUGUUUCCAUUUUUACCAGCUCUUGUUCUCUGUGAAAUCUGUACAAUUCUUAUCAUGUCUACCAACCCACAUGCAAAAUUCAUGGAUAAUUUUUUAAAAAGCAAUGUAAGUCACAGAAUCCAUGAAAACAAUGAAGACUUAUGAAUCUCAUAAAUAGACUGAGUCUCUUUUGGAGAAAAUACAACAAAUUGCCUUGAUGGCAAUGCAAAGGUGAGUAAAAUUUGCACAGUGCAAUCCAGAUAUAAUGGGUAGAUUCUUGGCUAGAAUGAAUAAGCAUAGCUCCACUGAAAUAAAUGGAGCAAUGUUAAUUUGCACCCACAGAGAAUUUGGACCACCAGUUGGUGAUUGGAAUCAGGUAAAUAAGUCAAAAUCAAUAUUGCUGAUUGUUAUGAUUGAUCCUUUCUAGGAACCUGAAACUAAGUAACAUAGGUGCUGGGGGUGCUCCCACAGCCCCUAGCUGAAAAUUGAUUCCACUAUAUACAUGGUUUAUAGUUUGGUUCAAUGGCUCUCAGCACCCCCACUAUACAAAUUGUUCCAGCACCCCUGCUAAGUAAGUGUAGGGAAUGAUCCUGAACAUUUAGGAAAUUAUUUAAGAAUAGUUUCUUAAUUUAAAAACAUUAUUCCUGUAAUGUUAACAAGGCCACAAUAGGUCCAUUAUCUGGCAGGCAAAUGCCAGUCACAGAUAUAUGAUAAUGGUGAACAACUUUUGAAACAUAACCCAAAAUGUUAAAACUACUACAUAAGUUUAAAAUAAUCCUGUCUUCAGAAAAGAUGUCAGACUCCCAGGUCCAUAGAAAUUUCAUAAUUUUGGAUCCCAUAGUCCUAGAGUUGUAAAUCAUUUAAUAAAUGGGCCAAAUCACUUGUUUCCUUCAGUCAACUCUAGGUGGCAACAUAGAAAUAACACAAUUGGGAGCAGUAUCUGAAGAGAACACUGGAUGGCCUUCUAUAGCUGGUUCAUAGGGUUAUUCCCUGUUGCCUCCCAGUCCUCACCCCUUGAUCUGCUUCCAGCCCCUUCUUUGCUAGGGUUAUGUUUGCGCAAGUACCUGGGAUAAUCCAUAUUCAGUCCAAUUUUCAAAAUCAUCUUUAAUGUAUUUCAACCUAUGAAUUUUAUGCAUUAUUUACAACAGAGAGUUCAGCAUACAGGGUUCAGCCAGUAUAAGGACACCCCUUUUCUCAGAAACAUGGUUCUAUACAUUCCACUGACUCUACACCACCUGGGAAUUCUUCUUACAUAAGGGGUGCCAGUUAAACCCACUCUCUGAUGCCAGAGCAGACCAGAAAACCAGGCCUAGGGAGUUUAAGUGACUUACAAAACUGUAUGUAUGCCAGCCUCUUAUCUACUAGGUCACAGCAUGUCUCAUACACAUUGAUUCAAAUUUCUGUAGUUAAUUAGGUCAGCGGUGAAAUGAAGAUAAGGAAAUCUACAUACUUUUGAGAUCUACAGAUGGAAAACACUAGAAAAAAGGCAAAGUGUGAGUAACAUUUUUCAGAAGGGGUAACAGAGAAGGCCAGUAACUUAGUUAGGAAACACUAUAGUCUCCAGGCUAUACGUGAGAGACGUACAAUAGCUUCUAGUCUGAAAAUUUGCAUUUGCUUUGUAGUUCUUACCAACCUUUGGGGUGAAGAUAGGUUGCACUGUGGCUGCAUGUAUGGCAUACCAAGGGCACAUAUGUGUCUUGUCACACAUGCAUGAAAUGAGGUCAGGGUCAAUGGAUGUCAUUAUCAGUUUACUCAGCCCUUCACUGUAAUAGUCUGGUAACCCAUCCAUCCUAGUUACUGACGGCAUCAACAAAAUCUAAACAAUUGAAAGCAAGGAAAGGAAUAAUUAAGGACAUAAAAAGUCUUACGCUGCCCACAUAAUAAACAAAUACACUAGCAAGUAUUAAAAAAUGAAAAUUUUAUCAGAACUCAGAGGUUUCAAUGAACAUGUCUGGGCUUAUUCCUGCAACCCUUAAUCAGACAAACCACCUUUAUUCACAGUUGUAGUUCUGUUGAUGUCAACUAGUCAUGUCUUUAACUGUUGAAGGAUUAUGCCCUACAUUUAUCUAUAGUUUCAAGUUCCUAGAAAGGAUCAAUAAUAAUUUGCUACAGUGAUUUUUGAAAUAUUUUCUUAGUUGCCUGAUUCCAAUCACAGGCAAAUUUUCACUCAAUAUUUAGAGAUAUCUUCCUCUUCAACUUACUUUUUCUUCUACAAAACCAAAACUAAUAGAAUAAAAAUAUAAAAAGUCAUAUAUGUUUGACAUUCUCUAUUUUCUUAUUUCAUAAUCUCAGGGAUCCAAUGGAUAAUACCUAAUCUUGUUCCACAUAGACUGUUUCUUAUUUGGAGGAUUCUAUUUCAAGACAUAAGGGGCAUGUCAGCAAUCAGCACUUAUUCCACCAAAACGCUGUUGUGGCCUGAAGCUUCAUUAGCUUUUCCAUAAAGGUCCUUCCAUACUAGGAAAUACCCUUUAACAAGGCUUCCAGGACAGUGAGAGUCCUGGCAAUACAGCAUAGAGUUGCUACCUAGGGGCCUAAACCAGAGGUUAGGGACCCCACUGCCAAUAGUAAGGCACAGAGACCUCAUAUGGGUGGCCUUGUAUCCUUAUCAGACCCUUUAAAUUAGCAUGUCUCAAGGGAUCUGAGAUAUCAUUUAGUGGUAUUCUCAGGGUAGAAGUGCUGCCAACUCUUCAUAGAACAGGCUUGUGGAUGGGAUAGCAGGAAACCCCAUUUCCCCAAAUGGAAAACUCCUUGAGGAUAAUGUUAAUAAUUUCCUCCUCUAAAUCCGCCUCCUGCAAUCUGGUCCAGGGUCUUAAAAAUUACUGGAAAACAUAAUUUCUUAAUUGCUUAGGGUUUUUUCAACAAAAUACAUUAUAUGUUCAAAACCCGUUACCAUAAUAUUCUAUAGCCAUCAUUUCUUUUGAUCUGGACAUCCACAGUAAUAGAUCCCCAAACACAGUUCAUAAUUCUUUCUUGAAAGAAAGGUUCAGUGACUACAAGACUUGCAGGAUGGCUAGUUCUGCCACUCUCUCCUGCCAAAAUGUGACAGGCACAGCAGGAUUGGAUGGAGGUUUGGCCUUUGGGUAAUUUUCUAGCUCUGCUCCUGUUCUUUAUUUUCCAACAGCAGCCAAUAAUUAUGAUAAUAUUUUACAUAUAUAUAGAACUUUUCAUCCCAAAAGAUCACAAAGUGCUUUACAAACUCAGACUUGAUUGUGGCAAAUAGCCAGAGGUCUGCCUCCAGGGUAGUGGGGAGCUCACUACUCCAAGAACUCCUAAGAGCUUUGGAAAAUGCAGCAUGAACCUGCUUGCUGCAUCACCCGUAGACCGGGUGUGGUGUUUGUUCCUUAUCUGCUUGGCUAGUGCCAAGGGUUGGAUUGGAAAGGACUCUGACUCAGCAUCCUCUCCCUCCCCUUUACAGAGACUGGAGCUGAUGGUGGAGUUAGCCCAAUGGAAUCCUUGGGCUCACUGAGUUCCAGCACUCCCAUUGUGACCAGCUCAAUGUAAGGGAUACAAAUAUUGGAGGGACGUGUAGAGGAGCUACAAUAUGGCUCUAAAUGCACCCAGACCCACUGAAAUACAGCCACCUCUGGGACAGAGAGCUUUAGUCAACUGGUGCACAACAAGUGCUUGAUGGGAUAGGUCUCCCAGACCUUAGGUUGUAAGUACUUUGAAUCAAUGACUCUGUCUUCCUCUGUUUGUAUGGUGUCUGGCACAAUAUGGCCCUGAUCAGCAUCAUGGUAUCUGGGUACUAUAGUAGUAUAAAUAAUAAUAAUAAUAAUACAUGAAAUCCAUAUUCAACUUUAAAUUGAUUAAAUUCUGCCCAGCUGCAGAUAUAAAAUAUUAUCUGUAGCCAACACACCCGUUCAAACAUGCAGAGAAAUUUCUAUCAUUAAUAGUAUUGAUUGAUAAUUUUAAAAGUAUUUUGGAUUGUGAGUUUUCUGAUCAGAUAGCACUAGCAGCACCUACAAUAAUCAAGGUAUUAUGUGGCAUACAUUAUUUUAAAAUUAAUGUGGGGUUUAGGCUGCCCAAGCUGCAAAUAAUACAUAGUUGAUCUAAUAAGCCUUCUGUUGUUCUUGUAGCUCAGCCAAUUACUUAGUUUUAAUGGAAAUAUUAGAAUAAGUAUCACGGUUGUAUUUUACUGGAAGCAAUUUUCAUCAUGACGUAUUUAAAUCAAGUAUCUAAUGACAACAUUUUGGCGAAUAAUUUAGUUACAUGGUCUGAUUUAAGACUGCCAUGUUGAUGACCGCCUAUCAAUUAACAUUUACAUGUUUUAAUGGUACUUUCAAAUCAAUCAAUAUAAAAGUUUUCCCUUUAUUGAUCUUUGAAAUCCUGAAAAUUAUUCAUCUAAAUUCUUGAUUCCCUUUUGACUGCUUCUGUAAUUUUAAAGAUAACUUUAGUCAGCUGGAAAGUGUCUGUUAAAAGAGAAUAGCUCAACUGAAACAAAUUCCUCUUGCUUUUGUCUCCAAGUCAACUGCACUGUGAAAGAACAUGAAAUGUGCAUGCGCUGCUUGAGAGGGUUGCAGAAGAAGAUAAGGUGCAAUCUGACGGACCCUGAUCCUUCAAUAAGCACCAGUACAGGCAGGUCCAUGUGUGCCUAUACAGAGUCUCAUUAAAGUCAAGGAGUCUCUUUGGAGGACUGAAGACGAUGGAAAGCCUCCCAUUGACUUUCGGUCAGGCUGGGACCAAUCAGAGUAGUAGCCACCUGGGGAAGUGAGGAAACAGAUGGACACAGCAAGACAGGUAUGCAGAAAUCACCUACUACAGGACAGGUCCAACAAGGAAAAUAACAGAACACCACUGGCCAUCACAUACAGCCUCCAGCUAAAACCUCUCCAAUGAUCUACAACUUAUCCUGGAAA